UACAGAGGUCUCAAGCGUUGUUCGGAUUUAUUGGGCGUAAAGAGCGUGUAGGCGGCUAGGUAGGUCCGUUGUGAAAACUCGAGGCUCAACCUCGAGACGUCGAUGGAAACCAUCUAGCUAGAGUCCGGAAGAGGAGAGUGGAAUUCCUGGUGUAGCGGUGAAAUGCGCAGAUAUCAGGAGGAACACCAAUUGCGAAAGGCAGCUCGCUGGGGACGUUACUGACGCUGAGACGCGAAAAGCGUGGGGGAGCGAACAGG
rnacentral:rRNA from 1 species